UCAAUUUCGAAUAUCAGUCCCACUCUCAAACUCUCAAGUCUCAACGUAUUCAUAUACUACUCCCAAAUUCUUAAAUUAUAAUUAAUAUAUGUUUAACUCCUUUUUUGUUGUAGUAAUUUAAAAAAACAAUGAGUUAGUAAUUUCGUGUUGGAGAUUCGAAGGCGUGGAGCAUUGGAGGGAGGCUAAGCAGUGCAAGUGCAAGUGCAAGCUAGAGGAAUUCUCCGAAAUCGAUCAUUAUGUUGUUAAAAGAACUAGAUUAAGACCAGACACUCUUGAGAUGUGUGUUUGCUUCAAGUAUUAGUUAGACGCCAAUAAACGAAUGCAAGAUCGUGAAGAAUGUGAUGCUGAUUCAGAUGAUGCAACUGCAACGACCAUAUCGGUCCAAUCACUGGCAUCUGAAUUAGAAAGCGACGAAGAACAAGAUGACAAAGAUGGUGAAGAUGAUCAGGAAUAUGAAUAUGAAUAUGAAUAAGUGAUGGACAUCAAUAAUAAGUGUUUGAGUCAUGAAGAACUAUGAAUAUAAUUCUCGAUUAAUGUAUGCAUGAUAUAAUGUGAUGUAUCUCCUCCUAAUAAUUACUGCUAAAUUUAGAACUUUA